AACGAACGCUGGCGGCACGCUUAACACAUGCAAGUCGAACGGUAACAGGGACUUCGGUCCGCUGACGAGUGGCGAACGGGUGAGUAACACGUGGAGACCUAUCCUGGGGUGCGGGACAACGGUUGGAAACGACUGCUAAUACCGCAUACGUCCUACGGGAGAAAGAUUUAUUGCCCUUGGCGGGGUCCGCGUCGGAUUAGCUUGUUGGUGAGGUAACGGCUCACCAAGGCGACGAUCCGUAGCUGUUCUUAGAGGAAGAUCAGCCACACUGGGACUGAGACACGGCCCAG
rnacentral:rRNA from 1 species